AUCUCACAGUCCGACUGGAGUCGAGUUUCACAGAGCAACGCAACAGGAGGACGACACGACAGUUAUAAAGAGCAUUAACAGUAAGGACUAACAUUAACUGACUGUCUGUCUGUUCUCAACCAAAGCCAUUCAAGACCUGUUAAAGUUAAGCACAAACGUUUCCCGCGCAAAUUUGAAUCUCUCUCAGUCAGGGGAGAUUGACGGACUGACUGACUGUCUACACGCCACCAAACAGUAAUUUACACAGAAACCUUUUAAAGUAAGGACUAAGGUUAACUGACUGUCUGUCUGUUCUCAACCAAAGUCAUUCAAUACCUGUUAAAGUUAAGCACAAACGUUUCCCGCGCAAAUUUGAAUCUCUCUCAGUCAGGGGAGAUUGACUGACUGACUGACUGUCUACACGCCACCAAACAGUAAUUUACACAGAAACCUUUUAAAGUAAGGACUAAGGUUAACUGACUGUCUGUCUGUUCUCAACCAAAGUCAUUCAAUACCUGUUAAAGUUAAGCACAAACGUUUCCCGCGCAAAUUUGAAUCUCUCUCAGUCAGGGGAGAUUGACUGACUGACUGACUGUCUACACGCCACCAAACAGUAAUUUACACAGAAACCUUUUAAAGUAAGGACUAAGGUUAACUGACUGUCUGUCUGUUCUCAACCAAAGUCAUUCAAUACCUGUUAAAGUAAGGACUAAGGUUAACUGACUGUCUGUCUGCUCUCAACCAAACAGUCAUUCAAGACCUUUCAAAGUUUAGCACAAAAGUUUCCAGCACAAGUUUGGAUCUUUACCAUUGAGGGUGGCUGACUGUUCUCGACCAAUUCACACGCAAAAACUUUAAAGAUAAGUAUGAACGUGCCCAGAGCAGUUUUCGAUCUUUACCAUUAAGGAGGCUGACUGACUAUCCUCUACCACCCGUCAUUAACACAACAAAAACUAAAGAAAUGUUACUCCAUAUGGACUUAUUCUUUACUCAUUAUGCUGUGAGUACACCACAGUUUUAUCAGUGAAAAAAUGUAUAUUUGUGUGUUUUCUCACUGCUUGGCAAGGAAAAUGUGGCCCUGUUAAAAAUGUUUAAAUGUUGUUUGGUUUAAGGAACAGCACACUGAUUUUGUUUUAAAAUAUUCCUGUUUGGACAGUCUGUUAAAGCCAUAAAGAAAUACUUGAUAUAUUUCAUAAGUAAAGUGUAAAUGUAAUAUUAGUUUUUAAUGUUGUGACUGAACACAAUGUUGUGAAUGAUUUGGACUGAACAGCACACUUCUGUUUUAUAUGUGAACCUUUUGUAAA